rnacentral:rRNA from 1 species
CAGUAGCCGCGGUAAUACGGAGGGUGCAAGCGUUAAUCGGAAUUACUGGGCGUAAAGCGCACGCAGGCGGUUUGUUAAGUCAGAUGUGAAAUCCCCGAGCUUAACUUGGGAACUGCAUUUGAAACUGGCAAGCUAGAGUCUUGUAGAGGGUGGUAGAAUUCCAGGUGUAGCGGUGAAAUGCGUAGAGAUCUGGAGGAAUACCGGUGGCGAAGGCGGCCCCCUGGACAAAGACUGACGCUCAGGUGCGAAAGCGUGGGGAGCAAACAGGAUUAGAUACCCGCGUAGUCCCUGUCUCUUAUAC